UAUAUCUGAAGGAAAGUUGAGGAAAAUAAGGGCGUUAGAAAUAAACAAACAACGAACAAACCAAGAAGAAAUACUUCUGCAGCCAAGUCACGAUGAUGAAGUUUUUUCUGAGAAAACCCCAGUCUACUCCUAUUGCUCAUGACCAGUGCACAUUUGUUUAUUUUGAUUUGGAAACUACAGGUCUUGGUAAAGAUUAUGAAGUCACCCAGAUUGGUGCGGGUGUUUCUGAAGAAUCAUUUUCAUAGUAUGUUCUUCCAUCGACUCAGUCCAUUUCACCCUCUGCCACUGCUGUGUCGGGUAUUGCUGUGAAGGAGAAUUUGAUGUUCAAGAAUGGAAUGCAGGUGCCAUGUAAGAAUACCAAGGAUGCUAUGAAAACAUUUGUUGCAUGGUUGAAAAAAUUUUCAAACAUAGUGCUAGUUGCUCACAAUGCAAAAUUUGACUCCAGUGUUAUUGUCCGUGGAAUGCAUCAGGUAGGACUAAGUGCCAAAAACUUUAUUAUUGGAUUCAUAGACACAUUACCUCUAAUCAGAGAAGCAGUUCCCAACAGAAAAUCUUACAAACAAGUGGACCUUUUGAAAGAUUUAUGUACAGCACAUUAUGAUGCCCAUGAUGCCCUAGCAGAUUCUCAAGCUC